rnacentral:rRNA from 1 species
UACGGAGGGUGCAAGCGUUAAUCGGAAUUACUGGGCGUAAAGCGUGCGCAGGCGGUUUGUUAAGUCCGUUGUGAAAGCCCCGAGCUCAACUUGGGAAUUGCAGUGGAUACUGGCAGGCUGGAGUACGGUAGAGGAAGGUGGAAUUCCCGGUGUAGCAGUGAAAUGCGCAGAUAUCAGGAGGAACACCGGUGGCGAAGGCGGGUCUCUGGGCCGUAACUGACGCUGAGGAGCGAAAGCGUGGGGAGCGAACAGG